GUCAUGGUGGUUCACUGUUAGAAUUCUCGCCUUCUGUGUGGGAGAUCCAGGUUCGAUUCCUGGCCAAUACA
rnacentral:tRNA from 1 species